UCAGCCGCAACAUCCACAAAAAAUACUCAUCUUCCUCUUCAAUCAUCACCAAAGGGCUACCAUUGAAACAUCAUCUUUACCAUGUCAACCAGCCCUUAAAACCGACCAUUUUCUGCCUAUAGACACUCACCAUAACAUUAUCUAAACACACACUACACCCAGAAUAGAAAGCAGUGCGGUAGUAGCUAUUUCACUGAAAACACCAGUAAAUUCUCCAUCUUCCUUCAUUAGAUAAAGAUUUUAAUCGUUCAGAGGCUCUACGCAAAGGGGAUGCAUUAGUUUGAUUGUUCGUGGCACCCGCUCGACAUUGAGGUAGGUUACGGUCUACUUAAGUUAGACUCUGAUUAGAGAAUCGUAUGUAGUUGUAGAAAGUGACGGGGAUAGCAUGAUAGGCCUUCGGGCAUGAAGUGGACGUGAAUUCCAAUUAGGUUGGUUUUGUCAGCUGUUAUGUGGGCUUGUCGCCAAAUGUGUUAUUUCCGUGGUUAUCACUUGUUUGUAUCUCCGUCACAUACUAGUUCACUCAUCACAUGAAAAGAAAUGGUAAUAUUGAUAAUUGAACAGUGGACAGUAAUAUGACUUGUACUUGUUGAUUUAUAUUGGUGGUAUUGUUGAGACUGAUAUCAUGCAUGGCAUGCUUUCCAUAUUAUUGUGGUGAUGAUUGGUGAGGUGAGUGAUUGAGAGACUCCGAGGUCUUUGCCGGAGCUAGAGAGUGACAGAGAGACUCCGAGGUCUUUACCAGAGAUUGAGAGUGAUUAAUAGCCUCCGAGGUUUCUGCCGGAGAGCACGAGUGGUACAUGGACUUCGCGGGUCCCCCAUGGGUCAUGGCUUUGAGGCAUUGUCCUUAGCAUGUGUGUACGAGAGUGGAGUGAGAGAGGUGACUAUUGCAUUGCAUUUCAUUCAUCCACUCAUAUAUUUGACUGAUCAUUUGGUGAAUUAUAUCUAUCUUGGUUGAUUUCAUAAUUCCUUUACACUUUACUUGUAUAUGAUACGUGACCAUACCUGUUUGCUCUAUAUGCUACUUGUUGGUUUCAACUUCUUCAUGCGUUAUCUAAUCAUUGUCGGCCUAUGAUGCUUACCGGUACUAGUGUUGUACUGAUACUACUCUUGCUGCACUUUUGUUGAGUGCAAAGUACGAUCCAGGCUCCAGUUCUACACCCCGUGAUUGAUACGCGAGGGUGACAUCUUUCAGUAAUUCAGGGUGAGCUACUUGGUCAUCCGUGGCCCCUGAAGGACCUCCUCUAUUUAUUGCUGUUUUUUUGUAUUCGACAGACAAUAUGUAGCCUUCGGGUAUUUUCAGACUUAUAUUCCGUACUAUGUUAGCGCUCUUGUACCAUUUGACCA